rnacentral:rRNA from 1 species
AGAACGAACGCUGGCGGCGUGGAUAAGACAUGCAAGUCGAGCGAGAUUUUUUCUUGUAGCAAUGCAGGGAAAAGUCUAGCGGCGAACGGGUGAGUAACACGUGAGUAACCUGGCCCCUAGCUCUGGGAUAGCUCCGGGAAACCGGGAUUAAUACCAGAUACGACCACUUUAGACAUCUGUCGUGGUGGAAAGGAUUCCGGCUAGGGAUGGGCUCGCGGCCUAUCAGCUUGUUGGUGGGGUAACGCCUACAAGGCGACGACGGGUA